ACUCCUACGGGAGGCAGCAGUGGGGGAAUAUUGCACAAUGGGCGCAAGCCUGAUGCAGCCAUGCCGCGUGUGUGAAGAAGGCCUUCGGGUUGUAAAAGCACUUUCAGUCGUGAGGAAGGUAGUGUAGUUAAAUAGCUGCAUAUUUUGACGUUAGCGACAGAAAGAAGCACCGGGCUAACUCCGUGCCAGCAGCCGCGGUAAAUACGGAGGGUGCGAGCGUUAAAU
rnacentral:rRNA from 1 species